rnacentral:misc_RNA from 1 species
UCCGGCUUAUCACCGGCAGUUUCGCUAAAGUGCCCAGCCAAACCUGAUGGCAACUAACGAUAAGGGUUGCGCUCGUUGCGGGACUUAACCCAACAUCUCACGACACGAGCUGACGACAGCCAUGCAGCACCUGUGUAACGCCAGCCGAACUGAAUCGAGAAUCUCUCCUCGAACACGUUACAUGUCAAAAGCUGGUAAGGUUCUGCGCGUUGCUUCGAAUUAAACCACAUACUCCACCGCUUGUGCGGGUCCCCGUCAAUUUCUUUGAGUUUUAAUCUUGCGACCGUACUCCCCAGGCGGGAUGCUUAUCGCGUUAGCUUCAACACUGAGAGCCAAACCCCCAACAUCAAGCAUCCAUCGUUUACGGCGUGGACUAC